UUCAUUUCGUAUGCUCGGCCAAAGUGCAGAAUAGCAGACAAGGCUACGCUCGUCGGAGAAAUAAGGAAGGCACAAUACAGCACUGCGCAAAACAGGGUCAACGAGCCCAUGAAAAUUUUGGAAGAAUUUGCUAAGGCGUUCCACUGUUCACUUGGCUCCCCGAUGUAUCCUCGCAAAAAUGAAACCUGCUCUUUAUGGUGAAGGAGAAUGAGAUGACAAGAGCAUGAAUAAACUCUUUAGAAAAGUUGAUUAAAUAAAUGAUAUCAAUAC
rnacentral:lncRNA from 1 species